rnacentral:rRNA from 1 species
UACGGGGGGGGCAAGCGUUGUUCGGAAUUACUGGGCGUAAAGGGCUCGUAGGUGGCCAACUAAGUCAGACGUGAAAUCCCUCAGCUUAACUGGGGAACUGCGUCUGAUACUGGAUGGCUUGAGUUUGGGAGAGGGAUGCGGAAUUCCAGGUGUAGCGGUGAAAUGCGCAGAUAUCGGGAGGAACACCUAUGGCGAAGGCAGCUCGCUGGGACGUUACUGACGCUGAGACGCGAAAGCGUGGGGAGCAAACAGG